rnacentral:rRNA from 1 species
UACGUAGGUGGCGAGCGUUGUCCGGAUUUACUGGGCGUAAAGAGCGCGCAGGCGGCUGGUCAAGUCCGAUGUGAAAGCUCCCGGCUUAACUGGGAAAUUGCAUCGGAAACUGAUCGGCUGGAAGGUGGGAGAGGGUAGCGGAAUUCCCGGUGUAGUGGUGAAAUGCGUAGAUAUCGGGAGGAACACCAGUGGCGAAAGCGGCUACCUGGCCCAUUCUUGACGCUGAGGCGCGGAAAGCUAGGGGAGCAAACGGG